AAAAAAUAAAUGCCAGCCGACGCUUUUCUAACGUAGAGGUAACAACGGAACCACGCGACGUAAACGUAAAUUAAUAUUUGUUUCAUAAAAAUACACAAUGCGUCUGUUGACAGAAGACUGCCCGGAGUCGUCUAAAAAGGAUCGUUAGAUAUUUAAUUUAAUCCCUUUCCAAAUUUUGGACUUGUACGUACAAAGCCCGCCCUUUGUCUCCAUGACAACGCAACGUAACUGGCAUUGUUCGAACAGAAUUAAGACACUUAUGAACCUUCGGGUCAAAAAAAUAUAUUCACCCUUCGGAACGGAUUUUCAGUUGCACUGUAAUCACCCUUCAAACGAGGAGACGUACUUACGAGGAGAGCAAAGCUCAUUUUCUCAAAAGCCAUAUUUGCACUGAGAUUUGAAACGAAUUAUGUCGCGCUGUCUCAAAUUUCUUCUAUUUGUGUCCAUCGCUGUUCUUUCUAUGCAAACGCUUUCAGCCAAGGACUAUGACCUCAAACUGUGCGUGACACCAUCUACGUUUCGGAGGAUUCUGAACUUUUAUUGUGCAAACUUAGCACGCAAGCGAGGUAUAAGAAGAGAAGCCUUGGUGAAAUCGGAGACAGAAGCCAAGAGUUUUCUGACGAAAUUAUCAAAAAGAGACCCAACCGAUGUUGAUGAAAGGAGGCAAAGUACAGACUAUCGUGAAGAAUGUUGCAAUGAGGGAUGUAAAGUGAAGGAAAUAUAUGAAUAUUGCUGGCUGUAAAGUCGAUAUUAAAUCGCUAUAUUCGGUUUUAAUUACUCUUUGCAUUCUCGGUAAUUUUAAAGGUGCUCUUUAAUUGACAGCUCUCACUUACGUUGUUAAGUAUACGAUCCAUGCUAAAUAUCUUAUACAGACUUGUCAGGUUGCAAUAUUUUUAAGUGGCUUUUCAACCCAGCAUAGCUGGAAUAAACGCUUAUUCUUUGAAAUUA